CUUAGCCACUACUGUGUCACAGCUACCACAUGUUUAGAAGACCAGCAGUGACCAUAGAAGAAAAAAGCACCAGUGGGUUAUUUGCAAACUGAAAUGUAAAGGCAGCUACACCUUGCUUUUCCAGAGGACUGCCUUGGCAAAAAUUUUAUAAGACUCCCAGACUGCAUUCUCAUCAGGAAUAAAAAGCAUACAACUGCAAUGCCAAUGUUUGAACUCUCCACACCCGCUGAAAGACAUAAAAUAUUGUCUGCUCAUGUAGCCAAGUUUGUUGGCAGGCACAUGAAUGAAACAUCUCGCAUCAUGUUCCAUUAAAAAAUGGGGAAGUUUAAACUGGCUGCAGUUUCAUCUAUUUCUUUUUUCAAAUGUAUCCUGAACACUAUGUGCCUAGUCAUUCAUCUGCUCAGGAAAAAAUAAAACUAAAUGGCAUCCCAGAAUAGCUCCAUAAAUUUCUGCAAUCCUGCCUCCAAAUAAGGCAUACCCAUGCCCCUGUGAGACCAAAUUCUCCUGGAAAGCAGAUUCUGAGACUAGAGCUUUGUGCAAAUUGUGCAUUUGAGGAAAUGAUACCAAGAAUAGGAACAGAAGACUGGGAAAUCCUGAUUCACAGUGCAUUUAGACCACAACUCUGACCAACUGGGGCUCAACCCCAUUGAGAAAUGUUGAAGAGUCCUAUAGAAUAAGCUCCAGAAUCGUCUGCCCAAAUGAUGCUCUAACUCCUGUCUGCCGUUGGUUAAGCAUUGCCCUGGUGGUUCUAACCCUUUGGCAUUUCCAGGAUAUGCACACUUUCACUGUCCUGAGAUUAUUGCCCAAAGGGAGGAAGCAAGAAUUACAGAAUGCUUCUGAGGUUAGCACCAUCAUCUUAAACCUGUACAAAGCCAGACGCAUCAGAAAUGAACAGAGAAAAAAGUGAACAGAGGAUGAGACAAAGCCCAAGAGGUGGCUGGACUUAUUUCAAGUUCAUUUUCACUCAGCAAGGUGUUGUUGCCUUUUUGAAAGCCCUCCCUUCCAUAUGGGCCAGGUAGCAGGAAGAAUCAAGAGGUAGAAGAGCAUUGAAUGCCAAACCUCUGAGAAAGAGAAACAGGAUUUCAGGGUGACAUUUGGUAAACAAUUUCAGCAAAGUGGUUGGCAGAUGCAAAGACUUAUAUAUCAUUGAUUCCACUUUGUGUAACAGCCAAUCUAUUUUUGAAAAAGUACACGAUCACAUGAAGAUACUUUGUGGUCAAGAAAAAUCCUAAAAGCAAAUGCAGCCCUCAUGGGUAUUUGCACAAAAUUAUACAUCGAUUAAUUUUAAAAUAAGGUUUUCUACCAAAGGACCCGAGCAAAUGGAGAAAUUACCAUGAACUUGAUUACAUAAUGUAGAUGCUAGUGACUUAUCUAACAAAGAAGGAAAUGGCAGAGACUCCUGAGUUUAGACUCUCUCUGCAUGUUACAAAAUACAUAAUACUAUUGUAAAAGUCUCAGUCUGAAUACCAAGUUUUACUCUCUAUAUUUUGUCCCCUACUUCAUAUCUCCAAGUGGGGAUAUGGUGAAAAAAACACAAACAAUUUCCAUAUAAAAGGCCAAAGAGAAUGAAAGCGAGAAAUAUACAAGAAGAAGAGAAACACCAGAGAAGUAGAUGCAAGUAAAGGUCUCAAAAGUGAGACAGAAAAAAAAGAAAACUUGCUGCUUGUCCUUAAUCACAAGUGACUUAUUUAAAUAGACAAAAUGACAGGCUGACCUCCAUCUAUUUUAACUGCCAAAUCCUAUCAGCGGGGUGUGAUUACCGCCCAAGACCACCCUGGGGGGAGGGGGGUGAUUUUCAACCUGCCCUGAGAAUCCCUGACAUUCUUUCCUCCAUCCAGAAAUCCGGAAUUCUUCUAAGGAAACAUUUGUGGCCAUUAAACCAAUUGGAGUUGAACUCAUGUCCUAGAGGUUGACAGGACAAUUUAUGAAUGUGCUCUAUAACCAAGUCUGGAUUAAAAAAGAA
rnacentral:lncRNA from 10 species